rnacentral:pre_miRNA from 1 species
AUAGUACUCCCUCCGUCCGGAAAAACUUGUCGUCAAAAUGAAUAAAAGGGGAUGUAUCUAGACGUAUUUUAAUUCUAGAUACAUCUCUUUCUAUCCAUUUUGAUGACAAGUAUUUUCGGACGGAGAGAGUACAAG